rnacentral:rRNA from 1 species
AGUGAACGCUGGCGGUAGGCCUAACACAUGCAAGUCGAACGGCAGCACAGGAGAGCAUGCUCUCUGGGUGGCGAGUGGCGGACGGGUGAGGAAUACAUCGGAAUCUACUCUGUCGUGGGGGAUAACGUAGGGAAACUUACGCUAAUACCGCAUACGACCUACGGGUGAAAGCAGGGGAUCUUCGGACCUUGCGCGAUUGAAUGAGCCGAGGUCGGAUUAGCUAGUUGGCGGGGUAAAGGCCCACCAAGGCGACGAUCCGUAGCUGGUCUGAGAGGAUGAUCAGCCACACUGGAACUGAGACACGGUCCAGACUCCUACGGGAGGCAGCAGUGGGGAAUAUUGGACAAUGGGCGCAAGCCUGAUCCAGCCAUACCGCGUGGGUGAAGAAGGCCUUCGGGUUGUAAAGCCCUUUUGUUGGGAAAGAAAUCCAGCUGGCUAAUACCCGGUUGGGAUGACGGUACCCAAAGAAUAAGCACCGGCUAACUUCGUGCCAGCAGCCGCCGUAA